rnacentral:rRNA from 1 species
UCAGGAGGAACACCAAUGCCGAAGGCAGGUCUCUGGGCCAAUACUGACACUGAGGAGCGAAAGUCUGGGGAGCGAACAGGAUUAGAUACCCUGGUAGUCCAGACCGUAAACGGUGGGCACUAGUUGUGGGAACCUUCCACGGUUUCUGCGACGCAGCUAACGCAUUAAGUGCCCCGCCUGGGGAGUACGAUCGCAAGAUUAAAACUCAAAGGAAUUGACGGGGCCCCGCACAAGCAGCGGAGCAUGCGGCUUAAUUCGACGCAACGCGAAGAACCUUACCAAGGCUUGACAUAUAGGGAAAAGUGGCAGAGAUGUCAUGUCCGCAAGGGCUCUAUACAGGUGGUGCAUGGUUGUCGUCAGCUCGUGUCGUGAGAUGUUGGGUUAAGUCCCGCAACGAGCGCAACCCUCGUUCUGUGUUGCCAGCAUUUAGUUGGGGACUCACAGGAGACUGCCGGGGUUAACUCGGAGGAAGGUGGGGAUGACGUCAAAUCAUCAUGCCCCUUAUGUCUUGGGCUGCACGCAUGCUACAAUGGCCGGUACAGAGGGCUGCAAUACCGUAAGGUGGAGCGAAUCCCAAAAAGCCGGUCUCAGUUCGGAUUGAGGUCUGCAACUCGACCUCAUGAAGUUGGAGUUGCUAGUAAUCGUAGAUCAGCAUCGCUACGGUGAAUACGUUCCCGGGGCUUGUACACACCGCCCGUCACGUCACGAAAGUC